UGUCACGUUGGUGUAGUAAAAACAAAACCUCAACAGAAAAUGCUCUAAUAAGAACAGACAAAACACUGAUUUCUUUCUGGAACCAAGAUACUCCAAUGGCCUCAAUCAGUACCCCAAACAGAAUGGACGUCCCUGCAGCAUACCUGUCCAACAGGGUCAACACAAAGAUCCCUCCCUGUCGUGACCAAGAUAUGACAGACAAAACACUGCUGAAUAAAGGACUUCCAUUGAUCAAUUCAUCAUAUCAUUGCUUUUGUUAAUUUGAUUUUGAAGUCAUCUGACAGACCAGUGAUCACUGCCUCCAUGCCACCCAUCUAAACAGGACAUUACAUUAAAUAAAGGAAAUAUGUUUUAGAACCA